rnacentral:misc_RNA from 1 species
ACAAACUUGGUCAUUUAGAGGAAGUAAAAGUCGUAACAAGGUUUCCGUAGGUGAACCUGCGGAAGGAUCAUUACCGAGAACCGGGCGCCCUCGCGGCCCCGACCCUCAAACCACCGCGUACCCGACGAACGUUGCCUCGGCGGGGGGACCUCCCCCGCCGCCGGGCCCAGCAAAGACCGCUUUCGUGUCGACGAACGUCUGAACAAACCUUCGCGAAUGCGAUAAAGUACAACUUUCAACAAUGGAUCUCUUGGCUCCGGCAUCGAUGAAGAACGCAGC